rnacentral:rRNA from 1 species
UCAUCCCGACUUACCAACCCGAUGCAAACUGCGAAUACCGGAGAAUGUUAUCACGGGAGACACACGGCGGGUGCUAACGUCCGUCGUGAAGAGGGAAACAACCCAGACCGCCAGCUAAGGUCCCAAAGUCAUGGUUAAGUGGGAAACGAUGUGGGAAGGCCCAGACAGCCAGGAUGUUGGCUUAGAAGCAGCCAUCAUUUAAAGAAAGCGUAAUAGCUCACUGGUCGAGUCGGCCUGCGCGGAAGAUGUAACGGGGCUAAACCAUGCACCGAAGCUGCGGCAGCGACGCUUAUGCGUUGUUGGGUAGGGGAGCGUUCUGUAAGCCUGCGAAGGUGUGCUGUGAGGCAUGCUGGAGGUAUCAGAAGUGCGAAUGCUGACAUAAGUAACGAUAAAGCGGGUGAAAAGCCCGCUCGCCGGAAGACCAAGGGUUCCUGUCCAACGUUAAUCGGGGCAGGGUGAGUCGACCCCUAAGGCGAGGCCGAAAGGCGUAGUCGAUGGGAAACAGGUUAAUAUUCCUGUACUUGGUGUUACUGCGAAGGGGGGACGGAGAAGGCUAUGUUGGCCGGGCGACGGUUGUCCCGGUUUAAGCGUGUAGGCUGGUUUUCCAGGCAAAUCCGGAAAAUCAAGGCUGAGGCGUGAUGACGAGGCACUACGGUGCUGAAGCAACAAAUGCCCUGCUUCCAGGAAAAGCCUCUAAGCAUCAGGUAACAUCAAAUCGUACCCCAAACCGACACAGGUGGUCAGGUAGAGAAUACCAAGGCGCUUGAGAGAACUCGGGUGAAGGAACUAGGCAAAAUGGUGCCGUAACUUCGGGAGAAGGCACGCUGAUAUGUAGGUGAAGUCCCUUGCGGAUGGAGCUGAAAUCAGUCGAAGAUACCAGCUGGCUGCAACUGUUUAUUAAAAACACAGCACUGUGCAAACACGAAAGUGGACGUAUACGGUGUGACGCCUGCCCGGUGCCGGAAGGUUAAUUGAUGGGGUCAGCGCAAGCGAAGCUCUUGAUCGAAGCCCCGGUAAACGGCGGCCGUAACUAUAACGGUCCUAAGGUAGCGAAAUUCCUUGUCGGGUAAGUUCCGACCUGCACGAAUGGCGUAAUGAUGGCCAGGCUGUCUCCACCCGAGACUCAGUGAAAUUGAACUCGCUGUGAAGAUGCAGUGUACCCGCGGCAAGACGGAAAGACCCCGUGAACCUUUACUAUAGCUUGACACUGAACAUUGAGCCUUGAUGUGUAGGAUAGGUGGGAGGCUUUGAAGUGUGGACGCCAGUCUGCAUGGAGCCGGCCUUGAAAUACCACCCUUUAAUGUUUGAUGUUCUAACGUGGACCCGUGAUCCGGGUUGCGGACAGUGUCUGGUGGGUAGUUUGACUGGGGCGGUCUCCUCCUAAAGAGUAACGGAGGAGCACGAAGGUUGGCUAAUCCUGGUCGGACAUCAGGAGGUUAGUGCAAUGGCAUAAGCCAGCUUGACUGCGAGCGUGACGGCGCGAGCAGGUGCGAAAGCAGGUCAUAGUGAUCCGGUGGUUCUGAAUGGAAGGGCCAUCGCUCAACGGAUAAAAGGUACUCCGGGGAUAACAGGCUGAUACCGCCCAAGAGUUCAUAUCGACGGCGGUGUUUGGCACCUCGAUGUCGGCUCAUCACAUCCUGGGGCUGAAGUAGGUCCCAAGGGUAUGGCUGUUCGCCAUUUAAAGUGGUACGCGAGCUGGGUUUAGAACGUCGUGAGACAGUUCGGUCCCUAUCUGCCGUGGGCGCUGGAGAACUGAGGGGGGCUGCUCCUAGUACGAGAGGACCGGAGUGGACGCAUCACUGGUGUUCGGGUUGUCAUGCCAAUGGCACUGCCCGGUAGCUAAAUGCGGAAGAGAUAAGUGCUGAAAGCAUCUAAGCACGAAACUUGCCCCGAGAUGAGUUCUCCCUGACCCUUUAAGGGUCCUGAAGGAACGUUGAAGACGACGACGUUGAUAGGCCGGGUGUGUAAGCGCAGCGAUGCGUUGAGCUAACCGGUACUAAUGAACCGUGAGGCUUAACCUUACAACGCCGAAG